rnacentral:rRNA from 1 species
CCUACGGGAGGCAGCAGUGAGGAAUAUUGGUCAAUGGGCGGAAGCCUGAACCAGCCAAGUAGCGUGCGGGAUGAAGGCCCUACGGGUCGUAAACCGCUUUUGCACGGGGAUAACACCCUCCACUUGUGGAGGUCUGCAGGUACCGUGCGAAUAAGGGCCGGCUAAUUCCGUGCCAGCAGCCGCGGUAAUACGGAGGGCCCGAGCGUUAUCCGGAUUCAUUGGGCUUAAAGGGAGCGUAGGCGGUCGUUCAAGUCAGCUGUAAAAUCGCGCGGGUAAACCGGGAACCGCAGUUGAAACUGGGCGGCUUGAGUGCACAACAGGCAGGCGGAAUUCGUGGUGUAGCGGUGAAAUGCAUAGAUAUCACGAGGAACCCCGAUGGCGAAGGCAGCCUGCCGGGGUGCGACUGACGCUGAGGCUCGAAGGUGCGGGUAUCAAACAGGAUUAGAUACCCUAGUAGUC